rnacentral:tRNA from 1 species
GGUCGCGUGGCCGAGGGGCUUAGGCACCGGUCUGCAAAACCGGUUACGGCGGUUCGAAUCCGCCCGCGACCU